UACACUCCUACGGGAGGCAGCAGUGGGGAAUAUUGGACAAUGGGCGCAAGCCUGAUCCAGCCAUGCCGCGUGAGUGAUGAAGGCCCUAGGGUUGUAAAGCUCUUUCACCGGAGAAGAUAAUGACGGUAUCCGGAGAAGAAGCCCCGGCUAACUUCGUGCCAGCAGCCGCGGUAAUACGAAGGGGGCUAGCGUUGUUCGGAAUUACUGGGCGUAAAGCGCACGUAGGCGGAUCGAUCAGUCAGGGGUGAAAUCCCAGGGCUCAACCCUGGAACUGCCUUUGAUACUGUCGAUCUGGAGUAUGGAAGAGGUGAGUGGAAUUCCGAGUGUAGAGGUGAAAUUCGUAGAUAUUCGGAGGAACACCAGUGGCGAAGGCGGCUCACUGGUCCAUUACUGACGCUGAGGUGCGAAAGCGUGGGGAGCAAACAGGAUUAGAAACCCGUGUAGUCACAUGAU
rnacentral:rRNA from 1 species